rnacentral:rRNA from 1 species
ACACAUGCAAGUCGAGGGGCAGCAUGGUCUUAUCUUGCUAAGACUGAUGGCGACCGGCGCACGGGUGAGUAACACGUAUCCAACCUGCCGUCUACUCUUGGACAGCCUUCUGAAAGGAAGAUUAAUACAAGAUGGCAUCAUGAGUCCGCAUGUUCACAUGAUUAAAGGUAUUCCGGUAGACGAUGGGGAUGCGUUCCAUUAGAUAGUAGGCGGGGUAACGGCCCACCUAGUCUUCGAUGGAUAGGGGUUCUGAGAGGAAGGUCCCCCACAUUGGAACUGAGACACGGUCCAAACUCCUACGGGAGGCAGCAGUGAGGAAUAUUGGUCAAUGGGCGAGAGCCUGAACCAGCCAAGUAGCGUGAAGGAUGACUGCCCUAUGGGUUGUAAACUUCUUUUAUAAAGGAAUAAAGUCGGGUAUGGAUACCCGUUUGCAUGUACUUUAUGAAUAAGGAUCGGCUAACUCCGUGCCAGCAGCCGCGGUAAUACGGAGGAUCCGAGCGUUAUCCGGAUUUAUUGGGUUUAAAGGGAGCGUAGAUGGAUGUUUAAGUCAGUUGUGAAAGUUUGCGGCUCAACCGUAAAAUUGCAGUUGAUACUGGAUAUCUUGAGUGCAGUUGAGGCAGGCGGAAUUCGUGGUGUAGCGGUGAAAUGCUUAGAUAUCACGAAGAACUCCGAUUGCGAAGGCAGCCUGCUAAGCUGCAACUGACAUUGAGGCUCGAAAGUGUGGGUAUCAAACAGGAUUAGAUACCCUGGUAGUCCACACGGUAAACGAUGAAUACUCGCUGUUUGCGAUAUACUGCAAGCGGCCAAGCGAAAGCGUUAAGUAUUCCACCUGGGGAGUACGCCGGCAACGGUGAAACUCAAAGGAAUUGACGGGGGCCCGCACAAGCGGAGGAACAUGUGGUUUAAUUCGAUGAUACGCGAGGAACCUUACCCGGGCUUAAAUUGCAGAUGAAUUACGGUGAAAGCCGUAAGCCGCAAGGCAUCUGUGAAGGUGCUGCAUGGUUGUCGUCAGCUCGUGCCGUGAGGUGUCGGCUUAAGUGCCAUAACGAGCGCAACCCUUGUUGUCAGUUACUAACAGGUUCCGCUGAGGACUCUGACAAGACUGCCAUCGUAAGAUGUGAGGAAGGUGGGGAUGACGUCAAAUCAGCACGGCCCUUACGUCCGGGGCUACACACGUGUUACAAUGGGGGGUACAGAGGGCCGCUACCACGCGAGUGGAUGCCAAUCCCCAAAACCUCUCUCAGUUCGGACUGGAGUCUGCAACCCGACUCCACGAAGCUGGAUUCGCUAGUAAUCGCGCAUCAGCCACGGCGCGGUGAAUACGUUCCCGGGCCUUGUACACACCGCCCGUCAAGCCAUGGGAGCCGGGGGUACCUGAAGUGCGUAACCGCGAGGAGCGCCCUAGGGUAAAACUGGUGACUGGGGCUAA